AAACAGAAAAUUUCAGGAUCCGUAUCUUCCUCUGCAACACAUAACCCUAGCUGCACCUCCACCUAAUUCUUUCUUCUUCUGUUUCUCCAUCCUUUCUAUCUGGGGAGUACUCUAUUUGAGAAGCGAUAUCUACAACUGAUAACAUCAUGAGCCUCACCUUUUUUACAAAUCCCAAUUGGGAGGAGAUUUAGGUACUGAUUCUCUAAUCAUAUGGAAUAAUCAGUGAAUUAGGGUUUUAUGAGAACCAAUAAUGGUGAAGGAAUUGAGUUUGAGUCCAAGAGAAAAGUUACUAAUAAUGAUGGAGUCGAUGGUGGUGUUCAUUAAAGAACGGAAAAACAGUAAAGAGAUAGAGUUAGGGUUUUGUUUUGAGAUGAAGGAAUCAAGAGCGGUUUUGAGAUCCAGGGAUGAGGAUAAAGCUUAAGAAAGGGAUGUUGAUGAUUGUACUGAUUGUUUUAGUUGACUCAAACUCAUUGGGAAGCUUUGGAUGACAAUGGAGCCUCCCACAUAAACCUCUGUAGAAGUCUCAUGCUAAUUGUGCAAGCUUGAUGUCAAGACACAAUACUUAUGCAAAAUCAAAUUGGCAAUAUCUUCUUUUCAAAAAUAAUUGAUUGGUUUGUUGAUAGUAUAAAAGUUGACAUUAAUGUUCAUGGUUUCUAAAGGAAGCUUGAAUAUUAAAUUUUCAUGAACAUGCUCUCAUAUAGCAGUAGAUAAUGUCAAUGUUGGGUGAAGCAUAACUAAACAAUUUUUAUAUGUUUACAA